rnacentral:tmRNA from 1 species
GGGGGCGAUUUGGAUUCGACGGAGGUAAUAGUUUUAUAGCUGCGUACCGUGGCCCGCAGGACCACGUAAAAACCCGCGGAAACCAUAACUGCGAACGAUAACGCAAGCAGCGAAUAUGCAUUCGCUGAAACAAGUGCUUUUGCGCUAGCCGCCUAAGGUUAAGUAAAAGCCGUCUUCCAGCAGUAUGUCAGCACUGACUGAAAGAUGUAUCGAGCUGACUAGCCCAAACGGGGUAACCGCAUGUACGGCGAAAUCAAACAGGUUACUCGCUCACGAAAAAGCCUGCUGACAGGCUGAUUCUGAGUUAAAUAAGUAUGUCAGCUACGUACGUAGAAGCAUAAGAUGCAUUGCUUUCGGACCUGGGUUCGAUUCCCAGCGCCUCCACUA